UACAGAGGUCCCAAGCGUUGUUCGGAUUUACUGGGCGUAAAGGGUGCGUAGGAGGUCUGGAAAGUCGGGUGUGAAAUCCCACCGCUCAACGGUGGAAUGGCGCUCGAUACUUCCAGACUCGAGGACCGGAGGGGAGAACGGAAUUCCUGGUGUAGCGGUGAAAUGCGUAGAUAUCAGGAGGAACACCAACGGCGAAGGCAGUUCUCUGGAAGGUUCCUGACUCUGAGGCACGAAGGCCAGGGGAGCAAACGGG
rnacentral:rRNA from 1 species